GAUGAAGAACGUAGUGAAAUGCGAUAAGUAGUGUGAAUUGCAGAAUUCAGUGAAUCAUCGAAUCUUUGAACGCACAUUGCGCCCCUUGGUAUUCCAUGGGGCAUGCCUGUUCGAGCGUCAUUUGUACCUUCAAGCUCUGCUUGGUGUUGGGUGUUUGUCUCGCCUCUGCGUGUAGACUCGCCUCAAAACAAUUGGCAGCCGGCGUAUUGAUUUCGGAGCGCAGUACAUCUCGCGCUUUGCACUCAUAACGACGACGUCCAAAAGUACAUUUUUACACUCUUGACCUCGGAUCAGGUAGGGAUACCCGCUGAACUUAAGCAUAUCAAUAAGCGGGGA
rnacentral:misc_RNA from 1 species